GGCUCAGGAUGAACGCUAGCUACAGGCUUAACACAUGCAAGUCGAGGGCAGCAGGGAUUUAGCUUGCUAAAUUCGCUGGCGACCGGCGCACGGGUGCGUAACGCGUAUCCAACUUUCCCGUUACUCUCGGAUAGCCUUCCGAAAGGGAGAUUAAUACGAGAUGGUGUUCAGUUUCCGCAUGUUUGCUGAACUAAAGAUUCAUCGGUAACGGAUAGGGAUGCGUGACAUUAGAUAGUUGGCGGGGUAACGGCCCACCAAGUCAACGAUGUCUAGGGGUUCUGAGAGGAAGGUCCCCCACACUGGAACUGAGACACGGUCCAGACUCCUACGGGAGGCAGCAGUGAGGAAUAUUGGUCAAUGGGCGGAGGCCUGAACCAGCCAAGUAGCGUGAAGGAUGAAGGUUCUAUGGAUUGUAAACUUCUUUUAUACGGGAAUAACAUCACCUACGUGUAGGUGCCUGCAUGUACCGUAUGAAUAAGCAUCGGCUAACUCCGUG
rnacentral:rRNA from 1 species